UCCAGACUCUUCCGGAAUGCACCCCCUGA
rnacentral:piRNA from 1 species